rnacentral:rRNA from 1 species
UAGGGAAUCUUCCGCAAUGGGCGAAAGCCUGACGGAGCAACGCCGCGUGAGUGAUGAAGGUCUUCGGAUCGUAAAACUCUGUUAUUAGGGAAGAACAAAUGUGUCAGUAACUAUGCACGUCUUGACGGUACCUAAUCAGAAAGCCACGGCUAACUACGUGCCAACAGCCGCGGUAAUACGUAGGUGGUAAGCGUUAUCCGGAAUUAUUGGGCGUAAAGCGCGCGUAGGCGGUUUUUUAAGUCGAAUGUUAAAGCCCACGGCUCAACCGUGGGGGGUCAUUGGAAACUGGAAAACUUGAGUGCCGAAGAGGAAAGUGGAAUUCCAUAUGUAGCGGUGAAAUGCGCAGAGAUAUGGGGGGACACCAGUAGCGAAGGCGGCUUGCUGGUCUGUAACUGACGCUGAUGUGCGAAAGCGUGGGGAUCAAACAGG